AGUGAACGCUGGCGGUAUGCCUAACACAUGCAAGUCGAACGGCAGCACAGUAAGAGCUUGCUCUUACGGGUGGCGAGUGGCGGACGGGUGAGGAAUACAUCGGAAUCUACUUUUUCGUGGGUGAUAACGUAGGGAAACUUACGCUAAUACCUCAUACGACCUACGGGUGAAAGCAGGGGAUCUUCGGACCUUGCGCGAUUGAAUGAGCCGAUGUCGGAUUAGCUAGUUGGCGGGGUAAAGGCCCACCAAGGCGACGAUCCGUAGCUGGUCUGAGAGGAUGAUCAGCCACACUGGAACUGAGACACGGUCCAGACUCCUACGGGAGGCAGCAGUGGGGAAUAUUGGACAAUGGGCGCAAGCCUGAUCCAGCCAUACCGCGUGGGUGAAGAAGGCCUUCGGGUUGUAAAGCCCUUUUGUUGGGGAAGAAAAGCAGCAGGUUAAUACCCCGCUGUUCUGACGGUACCCAAAGAAUAAGCACCGGCUAACUUCGUG
rnacentral:rRNA from 1 species